UACGUAGGGUGCGAGCGUUAAUCGGAAUUACUGGGCGUAAAGCGUGCGCAGGCGGUGAUGUAAGACAGUUGUGAAAUCCCCGGGCUCAACCUGGGAAUUGCAUCUGUGACUGCAUCGCUAGAGUACGGUAGAGGGGGAUGGAAUUCCGCGUGUAGCAGUGAAAUGCGUAGAUAUGCGGAGGAACACCGAUGGCGAAGGCAUCCCCUGGACCUGUACUGACGCUCAUGCACGAA
rnacentral:rRNA from 1 species